rnacentral:rRNA from 1 species
UGUAAGCGUAUACCAAAGUUGUUGCAGUUAAAACGCUCGUAGUCGGAAUUUGGCAGUUCCGGAUGUGUGCACGUCGUGUGCGCACUUCGCGGGGAUUGCUUUUGUGGUCUUGCGUAGGAUGAGGCACUUUUAUUAGUGAACGUCCUCACGCAACCACUUUUUACUGUGAGAAAAUCAGAGUGCUCAAAGCAGGCAUUUGCCGUGAAUGUAUUAGCAUGGAAUAAUAGAAUAGGACUUGGUUCUAUUUUGUUGGUUUGUUGGGACUGAGUAAUGAUUAAGAGGGACAGUUGGGGGCAUUUGUAUUUCGGUGCUAGAGGUGAAAUUCUUAGAUUGGCGAAAGACAAACUGCUGCGAAAGCGUCUGCCAAGGAUGUUUUCAUUGA